UAGGGAAUCUUCGGCAAUGGACGAAAGUCUGACCGAGCAACGCCGCGUGAGUGAAGAAGGUUUUCGGAUCGUAAAACUCUGUUGUUAGAGAAGAACAAGGACGUUAGUAACUGAACGUCCCCUGACGGUAUCUAACCAGAAAGCCACGGCUAACUACGUUCCAGCAGCCGCGGUAAUACGUAGGUGGCAAGCGUUGUCCGGAUUUAUUGGGCGUAAAGCGAGCGCAGGCGGUUUCUUAAGUCUGAUGUGAAAGCCCCCGGCUCAACCGGGGAGGGUCAUUGGAAACUUGGAGACUUGAGUGCAGAAGAGGAGAGUGGAAUUCCAUGUGUAGCGGUGAAAUGCGUAGAUAUAUGGAGGAACACCAGUGGCGAAGGCGGCUCUCUGGUCUGUAACUGACGCUGAGGCUCGAAGGCGUGGGGAGCAAACAGG
rnacentral:rRNA from 1 species